AUUGAACGCUGGCGGCAGGCCUAACACAUGCAAGUCGAGCGGAUGAAGGGAGCUUGCUCCUGGAUUCAGCGGCGGACGGGUGAGUAAUGCCUAGGAAUCUGCCUGGUCGUGGGGGAUAACGUCCGUAAACGGGCGCUAAUACCGCAUACGUCCUGAGGGAGAACGUGGGGGAUCUUCGGACCUCACGCUAUCAGAUGAGCCUAGGUCGGAUUAGCUAGUUGGUGGGGUAAAGGCCUACCAAGGCGACGAUCCGUAACUGCUCUGAGAGGAUGAUCAGUCACACUGGAACUGAGACACGGUCCAGACUCCUACGGGAGGCAGCAGUGGGGAAUAUUGGACAAUGGGCGAAAGCCUGAUCCAGCCAUGCCGCGUGUGUGAAGAAGGUCUUCGGAUUGUAAAGCACUUUAAGUUGGGAGGAAGGGCAGUAAGUUAAUACCUUGAUGUUUUGACGUUACCAACAGAAUAAGCACCGGCUAACUUCGUG
rnacentral:rRNA from 1 species